rnacentral:rRNA from 1 species
CAAUAGCGUAUAUUAAAGUUGUUGCAGUUAAAAAGCUCGUAGUUGGACCUUGGACCUGGACAGUCGGUCCGCCUCACGGCGUGUACUGUCUUGCUGGGUCUUUCCUCUUGGUGAUCUGUUGUUUCGGCAGCAGGGAACCAGGACUUUUACUUUGAAAAAAUUAGAGUGUUCAAAGCAGGCUCGACGCCGGAAUAUAUUAGCAUGGAAUAAUAAAAUAGGACGUGCGGUUCUAUUUUGUUGGUUUUUGGAAUCGCCGUAAUGAUUAAUAGGGACAGUCGGGGGCAUUAGUACUCACAUGCUAGAGGUGAAAUUCUUGGAUUUUGUGAAGACUAACUUCUGCGAAAGCAUUUGCCAAGGAUGUUUUCAUUAA